AAGAAGAAGAGAGCUCACGAGAUUUUGGACACAGCUGUAAGCCGGCUAGUAUCCCUUCUAGCCACUCAGUUCGUCUGAAUGGAAACUCUGAGGAGCACAAACAACUGGCUCCCUAAAAAAUGAAUUCCAUAUGGAACUUAGUGGAAGACCAUCUCCCAGAAAUGUGCAGAUGAAUGUAAGAUGUCAAAAAGGCACCACAGUCAUUGUUUGUGAAAAUUACUGCUUUGCAUUAAAAGAUAUUUCAAGCACUAAUACUCUAUUCAAAAGAGGUAAGAAAUUGUUUUGUUCAAACACAGCAUAAUUACAAAGUAUGGUUUUGCUGGGUUUUAUUUGUUUUCUUAUUAACACAAAAAACAACAUGAUUACCCUUUCUGCUUCUAGAGCCUUAGAGCUGUUCAUGUAUAACUCCGUGGUAGAGCAUUGCGUUUGCAAUGCAAAAGGUCAUUGUGGGUUUGAAACAAAUAAUAAGCAGCUUGUAAUGCACUUUAAGUUGCUUUGGAUAAAAGCAUCUCCAAAUGCAUAAAUAUUAUAUAUACACAUGAUGUAACCCCAGGUGGACCACCCAGGUGGAAACAUGUAUGCUUUAGGUGGACGGCUUUAUCCAAAGCAUAUACUUUUUAUUAGUAUGUGUGCUCCUUGGUUAUUUAGCCCAUAACCUCUUAUUUCAGCCUUGUUUGUUUUAUUUUUUAUGUAUAUACACUGUAAAAACUAACAGUGUAAGUCACUAAACGAAAUUAGUUUUUUAAACUUAUUAUUUUUUAAAGUAAAUUUCACUUAAUAAAAACUGUGAUAUGAACUCAAAAACUGCAAAUGAUUAACCAUAAAUUAAACCAAAUAAGUAAGCAACAGCCAGGACACAUAUAUGAAGAGCUAACAGGUAAGCACUACAAACUCUUUCAACCUUUUUAAAGGACAAGUUCGGUAUUUUAGACUUAAAGCCCUGUUUUCAGAUUGUUU